rnacentral:rRNA from 1 species
AGAGUUUGAUCCUGGCUUAGGAUGAACGCUGGCGGCGUGCUUAACACAUGCAAGUCGAGCGGAGUUUUUAAACGGAAGUUUUCGGAUGGAAGUUUAGAAACUUAGUGGCGGACGGGUGAGUAACGCGUGGGUAACCUGCCUCAUACAGGGGGAUAACAGUUAGAAAUGACUGCUAACACCGCAUAAUAUAGCGAAACCGCAUGAUUUUUGCUAUCAAAUAUUUAUAGGUAUGAGAUGGGCCCGCGUCUGAUUAGCUAGUUGGUGGGGUAAAAGCCUACCAAGGCGACGAUCAGUAGCCGGCUUGAGAGAGUGACCGGCCACAUGGGACUGAGACACGGCCCAAACUCCUACGGGAGGCAGCAGUGGGGAAUAUUGGACAAUGGGGGAAACCCUGAUCCAGCCGACGCCGCGUGAGUGAAGAAGUAUUUCGGUAUGUAAAGCUCUAUCAGCAGGGAAGAUAAUGACAGUACCUGACUAAGAAGCCCCGGCUAACUACGUGCCAGCCGCCGC